CCACCAUUUGCUUUGACGUGGAUGGAACUGAAGGGUAUUGUGCUGAGUGAAAGCAGCCCCCCUCCUUGGAUUUGGUCUUCUUGGUGGUGAUCGUGCCUCUGGUGCUCCUGGCAGGCCUGGUGUGGUGGCUCUGGAAGUGCUGGAAAACACACUUGAGACCUCAGUGCACGGACUUCCUUCUGGAGAGAGAUCUCAGCAGCCCAGGCCCCGGGAUUUACCUAAACCCAGCUCAUUGGUCAUGUCCUGGUAACUCUGCAUGUAAAUUUCUUUCAA